rnacentral:rRNA from 1 species
UCGAGCGAUCAUUACAGGGUAGCAAUAUUCUGUGGUGGGAGCGGCGCAAGGGUGCGUAACACGUGGGCAAUCCGCCAUGAAGUUUGGGAUAAUCCCGCGAAAGCGGGACUAAUACCGGAUGUGACAGCCUGGAGGCAUCUCUGGGUUGUUAAAGCUGGGGACCGUAAGGCCUGGCGCUUCAUGAUGAGCCCGCGGCCUAUCAGCUAGUUGGUGAGGUAACGGCUCACCAAGGCUAAGACGGGUAGCUGGUCUGAGAGGACGACCAGCCACACUGGAACUGAGACACGGUCCAGACACCUACGGGUGGCAGCAGUCGAGAAUUUUUCACAAUGGGCGCAAGCCUGAUGGAGCGACGCCGCGUGGGGGAUGAAUGGCUUCGGCCCGUAAACCCCUGUCAUUUGCGAGCAAGGCGCAUUAUUUAAAAGAUGAUGUGUUGAUAGUAGCGAAAGAGGAAGGGACGGCUAACUCUGUGCCAGCAGCCGCGGUAAUACAGAGGUCCCGAGCGUUGUUCGGAUUCACUGGGCGUAAAGGGUGCGUAGGUGGUGAGGCAAGUCGGAUGUGAAAUACUGGAGCUUAACUCCGGAACUGCAUUGGAAACUGCCUUGCUUGAGGUUUGGAGGGGGGACUGGAAUUCUCGGUGUAGCAGUGAAAUGCGUAGAUAUCGAGAGGAACACCAGUGGCGAAGGCGAGUCCCUGGACAACACCUGACACUGAGGCACGAAAGCUAGGGGAGCAAACAGGAUUAGAUACCCUGGUAGUCCUAGCCGUAAACGGUGCACGUUUGCUGUAAGAGGAAUCGACCCCUCUUGUGGCGAAGCUAACGCGAUAAACGUGCCGCCUGGGAAGUACGGUCGCAAGAUUAAAACUCAAAGAAAUUGACGGGGGCCUGCACAAGCG